GGUCCGUUAGCUCAGUCAAUAGAGCGUGGUGCUGAUAAGACCAAGGUCGUGAGUUCGAACCUCACACGGACCA